rnacentral:rRNA from 1 species
GAUGAACGCUAGCGGCAGGCCUAAUACAUGCAAGUCGAACGAUAGUUGGGGCUUGCCUCAACGAAAAGUGGCGCACGGGUGCGUAACGCGUAUGCAACCUACCUUAUUCAGGGGGAUAGCCCGAAGAAAUUCGGAUUAACACCGCAUAAAAUCACAGCUCAGCAUUGAGUAAUGAUCAAAUAUUUAUAGGAAUAAGAUGGGCAUGCGUGUCAUUAGCUAGUUGGCGGGGUAACGGCCCACCAAGGCGACGAUGACUAGGGGAUCUGAGAGGAUGACCCCCCACACUGGUACUGAGACACGGACCAGACUCCUACGGGAGGCAGCAGUAAGGAAUAUUGGUCAAUGGAGGCAACUCUGAACCAGCCAUGCCGCGUGCAGGAAGACAGCCCUCUGGUCGUAAACUGCUUUUAUUCGGGAAUAAACCUUUCUACGUGUAGAGAGCUGAAUGUACCGAAGGAAUAAGGAUCGGCUAACUCCGUGCCAGCAGCCGCGGUAAUACGGAGGAUCCAAGCGUUAUCCGGAUUUAUUGGGUUUAAAGGGUGCGUAGGCGGCUUAUUAAGUCAGGGGUGAAAGACGGUGGCUCAACCAUCGCAGUGCCUUUGAUACUGAUGAGCUUGAAUGAACUAGAGGUAGGCGGAAUGUGACAA